rnacentral:tRNA from 1 species
CGGGGUAUAGCGCAGUUGGUAGCGCGCUGUGUUUGGGACGCAGAGGUCCCCAGUUCGAGUCUGGGUACCCCGA